rnacentral:rRNA from 1 species
UACGGGGGGAGCAAGCGUUGUUCGGAUUUACUGGGCGUAAAGGGCGUGUAGGCGGCCACCGCAAGUCAGUUGUGAAAUCUCUGGGCUUAACCCAGAAAGGUCAACUGAUACUGCGGGGCUAGAGUGCAGAAGGGGCAACUGGAAUUCUCGGUGUAGCGGUGAAAUGCGUAGAUAUCGAGAGGAACACCUGCGGCGAAGGCGGGUUGCUGGGCUGACACUGACGCUGAGGCGCGAAAGCCAGGGGAGCGAACGGG